rnacentral:tRNA from 1 species
AGCAGAGUGGCGCAGCGGAAGUGUGCUGGGCCCAUAACCCAGAGGUCUGAGGAUCAAAACCUCGCUCUGCUA